rnacentral:lncRNA from 1 species
UAGCCUAAACCGUUGGUUUUCCCGUUUGAAUGGUUUUUACACUAGUAAUUUUGGAGCCCUUUAUAGCUUGUUGUUCGGUGUGAGCCAAGGCUCCGUGUUGAAGGCCGUACAUUGACCUAUAAUGGUUUACUUUUUUAAAUUGUUAUUUGGAUGGAGAGUUGUCUCAUUGGCACUCACACCACAUCUUCCUAUAUCUAUUCAACAAUACACUGUCCUUAAAUUGUAUCAAGCUAAAAUAGCACUGUGUCUAAAAAAAAUUGACAGAGACCAUCGAAGAUGUACAAU